UUAGGUGUAGAGUGACUUCCUCCGGUCAGAGCCACCAACUCAGAACCGGAACCGUAUUAAAACCCGACCUCACCAGUCGGGUUUUUUUA
rfam:Pantoea stewartii subsp. stewartii DC283 WGS_Sequence58, whole genome shotgun sequence.